ensembl:lncRNA
GUUUGGUUUCGUGUGCCACAUGACUCCCAAAGUUCUACCUCACAAUGCAGUGCCAGUGCACCAUAGACACUAUCAAGAGACUUACAGCCUGCUGGGUAUUGUCAGUGACCUACUGUCGGAACACGUGCAAAAAUGGAGCCGCGUGAGGAGAAUUCUGAGUGCUUGUGAGAAAACUCCAAGAAAGCAAGAGCCUCGUGACCUCCGUUUCUCCAAAACAAGUAAUUGUCCUUGGAAUGUGUUUGCAUGCAUCUCCAGGGCGCAGCAGAUAAGAGCGCGUUAACUUCAGAUCACUCAUCCCACCUGCACACGCUGCUCUCCCUCCAGGGUGUGCGCUUUGCUCAUGUGACGUUUCCCGAUGCUCUGAAGGAAGCUGGCGAUUGCACGUGACUGUAGUCCUCCUAGUGCAUCAGUUCUACUCUCCAGGAUUUUCUGAGCUCUGAGAGAUUUGAUGAAGACAUCCCAUUUAGAGCUGUGUUCCAAAGACUCUCUCUGCAUAAUGACUGGCUGUGGGUCUCUGACUCUGUUCCUGUCUUCUGCUGCAGAAGGAACAUCUCUGAUGACUGAAUAAGGCACUGAUCUGAGUAGGGCAGACUGUCAUUAGGAGUUAUUUAUUUAUUGCAUCCUCUCUCUCUCUCUCUCUCUCUCUCUCUCUCUCUCUCUCUCUCUCUCUCUCUCUUUUUUGACCAGGAUUGUUUGGCUUUACCCUAGGUCUCUGAGCUAUCUAGUCUCUGGUUCUUGGUCACUCAAACAGUGUCUGGCAUGGGUUCCAUCUCAUGGCGCGGGCCUUAACUCACAUCAGAAGUUGGUUGGUUACUCCCACAAGUUCGGAGCCACCAUUGCCUUAACAUACCUUGCAGGCAGGACAGGUUGUAGGUCCAAGGUUUAGCGGGUGGGUUGGUUUGGUAGCCUGAAGAGUUCCUUCCCACACUAAAGACUAGAGCGUAGGGGUGACGGCUCCAUGUAGGCAACAGCUCAGCUUCUCUAUGUUCAAUGAGUUGUGUGGGUGUAAAACCUGUGGGACGAAAAAACCAUGCCAGGAAGUUUAAUAAGGUAGAGAAGAUAGAGACCUGGAGACUCAGUGGGCACACACCUGAGGCUUAGGUGACUCCCCGCUCCCUGCCAGACUCCUGACUUGGAACACAUGCCAUGCUCACAUAAAAAAAAAUAAAAAUAAAUAAAAAUAAAAAAGAUGUGCCCUACGGUCACAUUGGCCCAAAACCGAGUUCCCCAUGCCAAUGAGGUGCCUAGAGGCCUGGAGGGCUCAGUCAAUAAGCUUCCCUUCCCAGACACUCCUCCCUGCAAAGGAUAUUUAAUCUCAGGCCCACCUGAGAAAUUAGGUAUUACCAUUAUGCAUCCAUUUUCUGCCAUCAUUGGUUAAUACUGCUUGGAACCAUGGACUGUCUAUUUUGUCAAGAUCCACCAUGAGAAUCUGCCAAGCUAAGGACAAUCACUUUGCGAGACAAGCCAGAGCUCCCUUGUCCCCUGGCCCUAAGGCCCCCAACUCCCUUCUCUCUUCUUCAGAGACUCCCAGCGGUGCCUGGAUGUCCAAGAGUCCCCCACACCCCUGAGAACCCCACAGCCCCAGCCUUGUCAUACCCCCACACCCCAACCCCGACCCAACCAGCUCGGGCUUUCCCACAUCUCAGACAGUGCUUGCCCACCCCAGGAGCUGUGUCUCAGCACUUCCAGACAGCCUAGCACCUGCCCUGCUGACCAACACCCACCCCUACUCACCCCUGUCAGUUUUAGAGAGCAACCCAUUGUCUUGGUAGCAGCCUGGGUUGUCUAGAGAUUUCCAUGAGACCCUCCUUGGUCAACAACUCAAUUGAAUGCACCCCAGUCCCGGUACUGGAAGCCUUGUUUGGUGAGAAGAGUUGGCCAGUCGGGACUCUGUCUCUCCCAUUAUUAGGAGGUCUCAUUAGGGUCACCUUCAUAUAUUUUAGGAAGUUUCCACUGCACUAGGUUUCCAUACCAUCCCUCAAAUGCUCCUUAAUUUCAGGUGUCUCUUCCCACAUUUCUUCCCUCAACCUUCCUUCCCCUCCCACUCUGUAGUGAUUUAAAUAUGCUUGACCCAGGGAGUGGCACUAUUAGAAAGUGUGGCCUUGUUGGAGUAAGCAUGGCCUUGUUGGAGGAAGUGUGUCACUGCAGGACACCAUGUCUUCUCCUGGUUCCUUUUGGCAUAAGAUGUAGAACUCUCAGCUCUUACAGCACCAUCUCUGCCUGGAUGCUGCCAUGCUUCCUACCAUGGUGAUAAUGGACUGAACCUCUGAACCUGUAAGUCAACUCCAAUUAAAUGUCCUUUAUAAAGGUUGCUUUGGUCAUAGUGCUUCUUCACAUCCAUGGAAACCCAAAAUAAGAUACCCUCUGUUGUGCCAGGGAGCAUUCAUGAGCCCCAAAAGAUCACCAAGGUGCUGAUUCUGUUG